rnacentral:lncRNA from 1 species
GGGCAUUGCCUGAGAGCAAGGAAGCAGUCUGAAGUCACUGGUUUCUAAUCAAUCUUUCUAUUGAAAGGUAUGGUCUACCAUAACUGGCUUUCAGUAGAGAUGCACCCAAAUGAAAACUGAUCCAGCAUCAGGAACUUCCCUUUCAGCAGCGGAGAAAGAUUACCCAGAUGAUACCUUGGGGAACUUUUUCCUUCUGUAUAUCCUGAGCAGAAAGAAAAUGUUUAAACUAAGAAGACUACUAGCAUGACAACUCUAUUGGAUGAAUGGACUGCAACAUUCUUGAACUAUAAUUUUGCUGUAAUUAUUGUUUGAUAUCUCUCUUUUUUUUCUUUUUUUUUUUUUUUGGUACUGGGGAUCAAACUUGGGACCUUGCGCUUUCCAGGCAGGUGGCAGAACCAAUGAGCUAAAUCCCCAGCCCCAUGAUGUCUCUUUUUUAAAUUUUGUUAUUGUUUGAUAUCUCUUUUGCUUCAGUUUUCCACAAGAGUAAAAACUCUAUUAUGGUAGACCUAUAUAAAAAAUUUAAUUUUUGCUUUAUAAAUGAAUAUAAAU